CUACAACAUUUUUUUUCUGAAAAAUGCCAAAAAGGCAUUAUUGUGUUUGUCCCUAUUUUCCUGAGUGAAAGAUUUUUUUCCUGAAUCCUAGAGAGAGAGAGGAGAGAUAGAGAUGAAAAGCAAUACUGUUUCAGAAUUGGGUCUUGUUCUUCUUCUUCUUCUAUGCACUUUUCUUUACCAUACUGAAUCUGCUUUGCCUUCUCAACAAACCUCAAUAACUGAGUGGAGAACAAAGAUGGUACGAGUGACACAUUCAUCCAGCCCACCGAGUCCUCAUUAUUAUGUUUACAAAUCGCCACCACCGCCACCGCAGAUAGCCCGUGCAUCACCGCCACCGCCGCAGACAUCCCAUGCAACACCGCCAAGAAUCCCAAAUGUGCCGUCAUUGUCGCCAGGGAUGCCACAUACACCACCAUAGAUGCGAUUUUCUAGGAUUUUAGCAUGGAUGGAGCAAAGUGGAGCAAUUUGGAUCAUUUUGGAGCAUUAAUCCCGAAGAAAUGAACUUGGAGUCAGAAGAGAGAGGGAGUGUCGAUCGAUACUGCUUCAGCAUCGGUCGACACCGUGUAUUGUCUACUUGAGAACAAGAAAAUUGGAAGUUUUACAAUUCUGCCCAAAGUUUUCCUAAAUUGCAAUACAAGUCCCUGACGUGUUUU